rnacentral:rRNA from 1 species
UUAACACAUGCAAGUCGAGGGGCAGCAUGGUCUUAGCUUGCUAAGGCCGAUGGCGACCGGCGCACGGGUGAGUAACACGUAUCCAACCUGCCGUCUACUCUUGGACAGCCUUCUGAAAGGAAGAUUAAUACAAGAUGGCAUCAUGAGUCCGCAUGUUCACAUGAUUAAAGGUAUUCCGGUAGACGAUGGGGAUGCGUUCCAUUAGAUAGUAGGCGGGGUAACGGCCCACCUAGUCUUCGAUGGAUAGGGGUUCUGAGAGGAAGGUCCCCCACAUUGGAACUGAGACACGGUCCAAACUCCUACGGGAGGCAGCAGUGAGGAAUAUUGGUCAAUGGGCGAGAGCCUGAACCAGCCAAGUAGCGUGAAGGAUGACUGCCCUAUGGGUUGUAGACUUCUUUUAUAAAGGAAUAAAGUCGGGUAUGGAUACCCGUUUGCAUGUACUUUAUGAAUAAGGAUCGGCUAACUCCGUGCCAGCAGCCGCGGUAAUACGGAGGAUCCGAGCGUUAUCCGGAUUUAUUGGGUUUAAAGGGAGCGUAGAUGGAUGUUUAAGUCAGUUGUGAAAGUUUGCGGCUCAACCGUAAAAUUGCAGUUGAUACUGGAUAUCUUGAGUGCAGUUGAGGCAGGCGGAAUUCGUGGUGUAGCGGUGAAAUGCUUAGAUAUCACGAAGAACUCCGAUUGCGAAGGCAGCCUGCUAAGCUGCAACUGACAUUGAGGCUCGAAAGUGUGGGUAUCAAACAGGAUUAGAUACCCUGGUAGUCCACACGGUAAACGAUGAAUACUCGCUGUUUGCGAUAUACUGCAAGCGGCCAAGCGAAAGCGUUAAGUAUUCCACCUGGGGAGUACGCCGGCAACGGUGAAACUCAAAGGAAUUGACGGGGGCCCGCACAAGCGGAGGAACAUGUGGUUUAAUUCGAUGAUACGCGAGGAACCUUACCCGGGCUUAAAUUGCAGAUGAAUUACGGUGAAAGCCGUAAGCCGCAAGGCAUCUGUGAAGGUGCUGCAUGGUUGUCGUCAGCUCGUGCCGUGAGGUGUCGGCUUAAGUGCCAUAACGAGCGCAACCCUUGUUGUCAGUUACUAACAGGUCAUGCUGAGGACUCUGACAAGACUGCCAUCGUAAGAUGUGAGUAAGGUGGGGAUGACGUCAAAUCAGCACGGCCCUUACGUCCGGGGCUACACACGUGUUACAAUGGGGGGUACAGAGGGCCGCUACCACGCGAGUGGAUGCCAAUCCCCAAAACCUCUCUCAGUUCGGACUGGAGUCUGCAACCCGACUCCACGAAGCUGGAUUCGCUAGUAAUCGCGCAUCAGCCACGGCGCGGUGAAUACGUUCCCGGGCCUUGUACACACUGCCCGUCAAGCCAUGGGAGCCGGGGGUACCUGAAGUGCGUAACCGCGAGGAGCGCCCUAGGGUAAAACUGGUGACUGGGGCU